GGUACACACACUUUGGCGAAGCCUAAAGCACCAUGACAGUGCACUUCUACGAGACCCCUCAGGGAUAGUUGUAAAAGCAAGAAAGAGAAACAACAGCCUGAGGCAUUGACAACAAGUUCUUUCCAGCUGGAAACGCCAUGCACAUAAGACUUCCUACUUCCCAGAAUUGUGAACUACAUUGAUACCUCAUCUGGCUCUUCGCAGGUUAGCA